rnacentral:lncRNA from 1 species
UGGAUUGUGAGGAAUUCAUGGGGUGCUGAUUGGGGAGAGGAAGGGUACAUCAGAUUGGAAAGAAAUCUGGGUAACAGCAGAUCAGGAAAGUGUGGAAUUGCGAUCGAGCCAUCUUAUCCCAUUAAGACUGGUCAAAACCCACCCAAUCCUGGACCAUCACCCCCUUCACCCGUGAAGCCACCAAAUGUUUGUGACAAUUACUACAGCUGUUCAGAUUCUGCCACUUGCUGCUGCAUUUUCGAGUUUGGAAAAACCUGUUUUGAGUGGGGUUGCUGUCCUCUUGAAGGUGCUACCUGCUGUGAUGACCACUACAGUUGCUGCCCCCAUGACUAUCCCAUCUGCAACACUUAUGCUGGAACUUGUCUCAGGGUAUGAUUAAGACCAUCUAAUGUUUUCUUACAUGCUUGUAUUUUGAACUGAGUUUUCAGGUUGAACUAACCAUUUGCAUUUACUACUCAAUCAUUUGUACUAGGAGAAAAAAUUGAAACAAACUUUUCCAUAAACUAAUUAUAGUUUUUGAAAAGUUUUUUUUUUUUUUUCAUUUUUUCUUAAUUUUUCCUACCAUGCAUACAUAAGAAAAAGCUUUUGCCCACAUGUUCUUGCACUCUUGAGGUUUCUUUCUUCAGAUUGCAUUAACUGAGUAUGGUUUCUUGAGACUGCACCAUUUGAGUUUUUUUUGGAUUGCAUCUGAUCUUCUUUUUUAACAUUUGUUACAACUUUAAUACAAUCUAAGAUAAAUUUGAUGAAACCUGAAGGAAUGCGUUGUUGUAAUUUACUCAUUAUUGUAUCAUGUACUUAUCAUCUGAAUUUUUUGUGAAUGACAGAGC